GCGGAAGUGGCGGAACUGGUAGACGCGCUAGACUAAGGAUCUAGUGGGAGUCAAAUCCCGUGAAGGUUCGAUUCCUUUCUUCCGCA
rnacentral:tRNA from 1 species